GCGGUUGAGAUAAGCCAAUGGAAUCAUGAACCAGCUUCCAUCCAUUGUAUAGAUAACAAAGUGGCCUUUGUCGACUACCAAACUUCCUCGCUGACUGGGUGUCCUCUUGAAGGAGAUUCUCUUCCUCUAUUUAAUGGAUUUCUUUUUCCAUUUGCGAACUAUUUGCAAAAGUAUCUUAGAAUUGAUCAUGGCUCCAAUGAGGAUAAAUUAACUUUGUAAGAGUGGAAUGGGAAGCAA
rnacentral:lncRNA from 1 species